ACUUUCUUCAGGGCUAGCAGAUGAAGGCAGCAAGGAAAACACCACCACAAGACCGACUUUAGGCUGGAGCUGAUGAUGCCACACGGCAAGAAAAAAGAAAAUAGACUCAGAAAUGAAACUCAACUAAAGGUAAAAGAUGUCUGGAACAUCUCCAAGAAAGCCAGAGUCAGCCUCUAAACUUUGCAUCAAGAAUGGCAAUGGCUUCCCUGAGGGCCCAGGGACGCUUGGCAGCUGUGAGGGAUCCCCUUCUCUGCUAUCAAGGAACUGGACACUUCUCCUGUCCCUUCCCACAAGGGGCUUCCUGGAGCUCCUGCAACCCCAGGCAUUAGUUCCAGUGCAGUUCUAGGAUCAGAUCAAUUCACUCGACAACAAGAGAAACAAAUGGAGAUUCCUACACAAAGACUUUCAAGCACAAAGAAAUCCUGCUGCCUAUAAAGCAGAGCUGCCUCAGCUCUUGAUGAACGACAGAAAAUCUCAAAUUCCAGGAAUUCAGAUGAAGUGAAGUGCUCUCAUGGGGACCAGGCGUGGGUAUGCCAGUCCACUGCCCUGCAAGUCUCAAGGGAAACCAACUGCCCAUCAGCAAGUCACACCUGCCUUGGUGGAGGCAUUGAUUGGAAGGGCCACAGGCUACAUGUCCAGUCCUGAGUGGGAGAAUCGGUGUAGGGAUGUUCUGGGGAUGCUGGCUGUGGCUAGAUCAGGUCCAGCUACAGAAGAAUAAUGAAGACUUCACCUGAGGGCUGGAAAAACAAAACCUCAAGUGUGAGGCAGCCAACCUAUUACCUCGAGGGACUGUCCCGCAGCACAGCAGGGCCAUGGGAACAG
rnacentral:lncRNA from 1 species